rnacentral:lncRNA from 1 species
CACUAAAUUGCUGAGGCUGACCUUGAACUUGUGAUCCUCCUGCCUCAGCCUCCCAAAUUUUGGGGAUUACAGAUGUGAGCCACUGUGUCCAGAUCAAACUUCAUUAAUUAUUCUAUCUCAGGAUCACCAAUGACCUGGAUAUGAUAACUUAGGUCCUGUCGGAAUCAAUGAGGUUUUACAAAAGAGGCAUUCACCAUAUUUCAAUGUGCUUCAGGGAUGGUCAAGCUUGACCACACUACCUGGACAAUAGUGCUGCUGGCACAGAUUGAAUUUGUUAACUGGUUAAUAAUCUACCUCCUACAUGCUUGACUGAAACUAGAAAAUUGUGUCAUCUGGUUGCUGGAUGCUCUAGAGAAAAUUGAGAUGAAAACACUGAAGUUCAGUUAAUACUUUAAUAAUUUGGGUUUUAUUAUUUUACAAAGCUUUCUCAGAUAGGGAUCAAGCAUACACACACACUUAUAUGUAUUUUUUUCUGACUCCCUGUUCAGAAGCUUAUUAAAAUACAACAUCUUUCAAUUUAGGGGACUGUGAUACUAUUCAAGAUGCUGUUUCUUGGAGCCCUAUGACAAUCACCAGGAAUGAAGUGAUUCUUAACAUAACCCUUUAAUAUUACAGGUUCUGUUGGGCUGAUAUCAAAAGAUUAAGGGGUAACCUGGGGUGAACUUUAUGUAUAUAACCACUGUAUUUUUAUCAUGAAGCUGAACAGUUAUCUCUGAUAACUAUAUCAGAGGCUUACUAUGUGAGCUGAGCACCAUGCACAGAAUGAGUGCCCACUGAUUACACUCUGUGGCCAUUGCCAUCUGUAUUCAUGCUUGAAUUCAUAUCGAGGUGAGUGUAUCUUAUCCUUCCUGCAUGGUGCUGUCAUGAGCUUUUCAAUGCCAGCUAAGGUUAGUAUGAUAACUAGGUAGUGAAGGUCUCUCAACUGGUCACCAUCCAUGUGAAGCCAAGCAAUAGCAUGGAAUGGGCUUGGAACACAUGGCUAGAGGCUCGAGACUUCAGUGCCGGUGCUGCCCGUUAGGCGUGGUACCAUAUUAGACAGAUGACUUCACCUCCCUUACUUCUCUUCUGCAAAAUGAGGAUAAUGGUUUUUCCAAGUUUAUUGAAAAGAUGAUAUGAGUAAUCAAUGUGAGUACAUUCAGCACCUAAGAGGCCUUAAUAAGUGUUAGCUGAAUCAAAAUCUGGAUCCCAAAUCAUCAAACAAGUUAAUGUCGUCAAGACUGAGCCAAAGGAAUGUGCUGGGGAAUCCUGGAAAAUGGAGGAAUUUUUGAGUCUUGGUUUACUUUGGAAAUUCUACUGAAAGGUGUAAGGCCUCACGUUUCUGUGAGACACAAUUUGGUUUGGAAAUCUGGGAGAAAUCUUGGAAAAGGAACUUACUCUACCUUCUGGGGUACCCUCUGAGUGGAUAGGGAAUGCUUCAUACCAUGCUCUAGGAACCCUUGAUCAGGACUCUCAAUUCUCUUUGUGGGGAACCAGAAUCCCUUGGGAUGUUUGGGAGUAUAGUGAACUUCCGGGGUUCAGGAAAUCCUCUUUGGCCUGAAUGGCUGGAAUAACAUGCAUUUGAGUAUCCUGAGCAACACAAGUUUAGCUCUUGUUUUCCAAAUAUCAGAGCUUGCCUUAUUCUUUAGUAAAUUACCACUUCCUUGGUCCAGGCUCCCUGGUAAUCUGUGAAAAGAGUGUUGGAAAUAAAGAGUCAGGGUGGAGACUGUGACUAUUUUGGUGAGAGGGUCACUUACCUUCGAGAGUGGAAGGAGCAUGAACAUCACAAUUAGAUAGUUACUUUUCUUAGCUGGGUCACUUGGUCACAGUCUUCCAUAUGAAUAUCUCGGUCAGUUCAGGCUCUAUAGCAAAAUCCUAGGCUUAUAAACAACAGAAAUUUAUUCCCCACAGUUCUGGAGACUAGAAAGUCCAAGAAUAAGGUCUUGUCAAAUUCUGUACCUUGUAAGAAUUCUCUUCUAUUCUAUUCAUAGAUAGCUGUCUUUGCUAGAAGAGGGGAGAGGGUCUUUCUGGGGCCUCUUUAAUAAGGGCUCUGAUCCAUUCAGAAAAGCCCAACCCUAGUGACUUUAUCACCUCCUAAAGUCUCCACUUCCUAAUACCAUCACUUUGGGGAUUAGGAUAUCAAUAUUUGAAUGUGUUGGGGUGGGGUCACAUUCAGUCCACUGCAAUAAACAUGCCUCAAUUUAUUUAUCCAUACAGUGGGUAAAAUGCCACUAUCUCAAAGGGGUAUCGUGGAUUAAAUGAGAUCAGGUGCAUCACAGAAUCUACAAACUGUAGACAUUCAUUAAAUUUCUCUUCUCCUCCCUGACCCCCUAACCAGUGGGCUCAGACUAUGUACCCCUUAACCAUUGCCUCCUGUCUGUAUCUCUUGCUUUUCCCAUCUAGUUUUUCUCACUUUCAAAGCACAUUAGCAUUACUAUUAACAAUACAUCUUUCAACUUCUCAGUCUUUACGAAGUUUUUUGUUUUAAAGGUUAAAUUUAUCUCCAUCAGACAUGAAUAAAGCUUUUGUAAUGAACUUUUCAAAUAAAUCAUUUCAAUAAUCUGUCCUUUUUCAUGGGAUGACACUAGCAUUACUAUGAAACUAUUUUCUUAUUUUUCCUAUAAUGAGCUCUUUCAAGAUGAAUUAUUACCAAGAUGAAUUAUUACUAACAAUCCUGAUUUUUAGCACAGGUUGAAUGUUUCUUACCCAAAAUGCUUGGCACUAGACCAUCUAGCUCCUGCCUCCGGCUUC